AUGCACCCAGUCCUCACCGCCUGCCCGCCGGCCAGGGACGCCAUCAGGAAGAUGCAGAUGCUAAAGCUGGACAAGAAGAACGCCAUCGACCACCCGGAGCGGGCCGAAGCCAACAAGCAGCAAGCCGAGGACCACUGCAAGCAGCUGGAGGGGCAGCGGAAAAAGCUGAAGAGGACAGAGGCGAAAAGUAUUCUCAAUCCGUGAAGUAGGCCCAGGAGAAACUGGAGCGGGCUGAGAAGGCCACCGACGCUGAGGCGGAUAUGGCCUCCCUUAACCGCCACAUUCAACAGGAAGAGGAGGAGCCGGACCGGGCCCAGGAGCGCUGUCUACAGCCCUGCAAAAGCUAGAGGAGACCGAGGAGAAGGCAGCCGAUGAGAGUGAGAGAGGAAUGAAGGUCAUAAAAACCCGGCCAUGAAAGGCAAGGAGCAGAUGGAGUCGGAGGAGGUGCUGCUGAAGGAGGCCAAGCUCAUCGCUGAGGAUUCAGACGGCAAAUACAAGGAAGUGGCCGGGAAACCGCUGAUCCUGGAGGGAGACCUGGAGCGCUCAGAAGAGAGAGCUGAGGUGGCCGAGAGCCGAGCCAGACAGUUGGAGGAGAAACUUGAAACCAUGGACCAGACCCUCAAGUCCCUGAUGGCCUCAGAGGAGGAGUCUUCCACCAAAGAAGAUAAAUAUGAAGAGGAGAUGAAACUGCUGGAGGAGAAGCUGAAGGAGGCUGAGACCAGAGCAGAGUUUGUCGAAAGGUCUGUGGCAAAGUUGGAGAAAACCACCGAUGACCUAGAAGAGACGUUGGCCAGUGCCAAGGAGGAGAACGUGGAGAUUCAUCAGAUCUUGGACCAGACCCUGCUGGAACUCAGCAACCUGUGAGGGCCGGUGUCCUGCCCGCAGCCAAGCUAUAGUUGCGGCCCCAACCGAAUAAAACUGUCAAAAUUGACGUUACCAGACAAACAACAACUCACCUCAUGCUCUUUUUCCCUUAUGUUUACUUAUUCUUUACUAAAAACAUGGAUCAAUUCUACUACCUAACACAUUAACUGCGUUCAGUUUUGUUUCUUUUCAAUCCUUAUCCACAGACAUGUCUAUCUGAUGUAGUUGUAAAGAUGUUAAAAGAUUUUGCAUUUUACUCUCUAUUUAAUUUUAUAGAUGAGACUCUUAUUUUAAACAAUUGUGUUUUAAUUCAAAGAAAAAAGUAAUUCUAUGAGGUUUUGACUAGAGAUAGCUUUCCACCAAAAUAUAAACCCUAAAAGCAAAUACAGCUAUAAAAAUUAAUUACACCAAAUUGCUUGAGCAAGGUAAACAGCAAACCCAGGGCCAAGUGUUAAAACUUGAGAGAGUCAAUUAUCAAGCUAUCUAGUAAAAGCCUCCAAAAAAUCGAUAAUCCUCCAGCCUGACUUUUAUGAUGACAUUAGAAAUAGCAUUUAACUUUUUUAUAUAAAGAACAAUCUCAUGGAAAGCUGGUCUAUGCUAAUCUUUUAAACCUAUUACCAACAUUUUAUGCAUCAUAAUCCUAGCUAAACCAGAAUACAUACAUAUAUAUGUGUGUGUAUAUAUAUAUUUAGGUUCGCGCAACAACAGCACUUUCUAAAAGGGUCCCUGCCAGGCAAUAACACCAUUCGUUUACUAAAUAUUGCCUGGGGACCCAGCCAUGCAUGACUCAUUAACACAGAUGGAAGUUUCACAUUAUAUCCCAGGUCCGUGGAACAAAUGGAGUGACCCCGUUAUUACUUCUUCUCCUUUCAUAUCUAUUUAAUGUGGUUUGUAAAGAGAAUUUGAUCUGCUCUGCUUUACUCCACUGCCAGAUGCCAUUAGAUUCAUGUUUUUAGUUUGUUUCUCCUUUGAACCCAAGUAUCAUUUAUCCUCAUGAGUAUACAGGUAGAGAAAAAAUCCCACCUUAAGCCAUUAUCUUAAAAAUAGUUCGUGAACAACCUCCUGUUAUUUCUUAAUAAUUUUUUGGUGAAAUUGCAAGUAAAGAAAAUUGGAUACUCAGAAAAGUUGUUAUAUAGCCUAUAAAUUUGUACCCUGAUAAUACCAAACAUUGCAUAUUCUCACAAAACAGAGGACAGUUAUUUUAUAACGGAGUAGUCUAUCAAUUUUCUUUUUCUAGUGUUACUAUUUUCUAGUAUUACUAUUACUCAUUCAAAUAAUAAAGUCAACUUAAGGCUAUGUAAACAAUGGAGUAAGAGACACUUGUUUCUAAACCUCUUACAACAUGAUGAAAUAAAUUACAGCCUAUCCAACCAAGAGAUUAUAUCAAAGCCGUUGACUAUGAUGACAUAGGUCUCUAUUUAUUGUCCAGGAUGGAUACUUACAACAUAUGACCAAUUAAAAAAUAAACAACAGGUCAAUAUGAUAUGUAAUCCAA